AGCGCAUCCCGGCAGGUGAAGCGGCAAAGGCGGCGGCAGGUCUGGCCCAGGCGGCCCAAGGCCCGCGCGUCCAGAGUCAGUGGCAAAGCUACUUUCUUCAUACUGUUUCCUUGAAAUGGAUCUAUUACAUGCUACACCAUUUCUAGCUGAAAAGCAAAACAUUCUUCAUCUGUUAGAUGAUCAUCAAAGAUGCACAAGAUGUUCGGAAUGUGAGAAGAAAAGGUCAUUAAUGAACACUCAGCUAACUUGGAUAUGUAUAUGGAAGCAGAGUAAUUAAAGAUUCAAAUACCAGGUGGAGAUACAUUUGCAUGAGAAGUAAUUUACCACUCCAGCUAUUAUAAGAUCUUCACAGCACAAACCUGGCCUAGGGGCAUCAGCAGCCAUGCAUGGGAGCAGGCCUUCCUUGCGCUCUUUGAUGAUCAGUAGCUGAACACAAAAGCUGCAAUUCCCAGGCAGCGACAGGCCAGCCCUCCUUCAACUCACGGAACAAGAAGCUGCUGGUGCAAACCGACGGCUUGACUCCAUCCGCGAUGCACUCCAGAUCCAGCA